UACAGAGGGUGCGAGCGUUGUCCGGAAUCACUGGGCGUAAAGGGCGCGUAGGCGGCCCUCUUUGUCGCGUGUGAAAGCCCCGGGCUCAACCUGGGAACGGCGCGCGAAACGGGGGGGCUGGAGUUCGGGAGAGGAGCGUGGAAUUCCCAGUGUAGAGGUGAAAUUCGUAGAUAUUGGGAAGAACACCGGUGGCGAAGGCGGCGCUCUGGACCGAGACUGACGCUGAGGCGCGAAAGCGUGGGGAGCAAACAGG
rnacentral:rRNA from 1 species